rnacentral:rRNA from 1 species
GCAUGGUCUUAGCUUGCUAAGACUGAUGGCGACCGGCGCACGGGUGAGUAACACGUAUCCAACCUGCCGUCUACUCUUGGACAGCCUUCUGAAAGGAAGAUUAAUACAAGAUGGCAUCAUGAGUCCACAUGUUCACAUGAUUAAAGGUAUUCCGGUAGACGAUGGGGAUGCGUUCCAUUAGAUAGUAGGCGGGGUAACGGCCCACCUAGUCUUCGAUGGAUAGGGGUUCUGAGAGGAAGGUCCCCCACAUUGGAACUGAGACACGGUCCAAACUCCUACGGGAGGCAGCAGUGAGGAAUAUUGGUCAAUGGGCGAGAGCCUGAACCAGCCAAGUAGCGUGAAGGAUGACUGCCCUAUGGGUUGUAAACUUCUUUUAUAAAGGAAUAAAGUCGGGUAUGCAUACCCGUUUGCAUGUACUUUAUGAAUAAGGAUCGGCUAACUCCGUGCCAGCAGCCGCGGUAAUACGGAGGAUCCGAGCGUUAUCCGGAUUUAUUGGGUUUAAAGGGAGCGUAGAUGGAUGUUUAAGUCAGUUGUGAAAGUUUGCGGCUCAACCGUAAAAUUGCAGUUGAUACUGGAUAUCUUGAGUGCAGUUGAGGCAGGCGGAAUUCGUGGUGUAGCGGUGAAAUGCUUAGAUAUCACGAAGAACUCCGAUUGCGAAGGCAGCCUGCUAAGCUGCAACUGACAUUGAGGCUCGAAAGUGUGGGUAUCAAACAGG